rnacentral:rRNA from 1 species
UUAGCGGCGGACGGGUGAGUAACACGUGGAUAACCUACCUAUAAGACUGGGAUAACUUCGGGAAACCGGAGUUAAUACCGGAUAAUAUUUUGAACCGCAUGGUUCAAAAGUGAAAGACGGUCUUGCUGUCACUUAUAGAUGGAUCCGCGCUGCAUUAGCUAGUUGGAAAGGUAACGGCUUACCAAGGCAACGAUGCAUAGCCGACCUGAGAGGGUGAUCGGCCACACUGGAACUGAGACACGGUCCAG